rnacentral:rRNA from 1 species
CCUACGGGAGGCAGCAGUGAGGAAUCUUGCGCAAUGGGGGAAACCUUGACGCAGCAACGCCGCGUGGGUGAUGAAGGCCUUCGGGUCGUAAAGCCCUGUCAGGUGGGAAGAAACAUGUCGGUGCUAAUAUCACCGAUGUUUGACGGUACCGCCGGAGGAAGCACCGGCUAACUCCGUGCCAGCAGCCGCGGUAAUACGGAGGGUGCAAGCGUUGUUCGGAAUUACUGGGCGUAAAGCGCGUGUAGGCGGUCGGGCAAGUCAGAUGUGAAAGCCUUCCGCUCAACGGAAGAAGUGCAUUUGAAACUACCCGGCUGGAGUACGGGAGAGGAGAGUGGAAUUCCCGGUGUAGAGGUGAAAUUCGUAGAUAUCGGGAGGAACACCAGUGGCGAAGGCGGCUCUCUGGUCCGAUACUGACGCUGAGACGCGAAAGCGUGGGGAGCAAACAGGAUUAGAUACCCUGGUAGUCCACGCCGUAAACGAUGGGCACUAGGUGUAGGAGGUAUUGACCCCUUCUGUGCCGAAGUUAACGCAUUAAGUGCCCCGCCUGGGGAGUACGGCCGCAAGGUUAAAACUCAAAGGAAUUGACGG